GCGCGCUCCCGGCCCCCCGGUCCGCACUCCCCACAGGCAGGCGCGUCGCGGCGCCGGAAGCCGCCUCCAUUCCCGGCCGACUGCCCUCCGGCCCCGCCCCGCCCCGGCCCCGCCCCCGGCCCCGCCCCGGCCCCGCCCCCGGCCCCGCCCCGCGCCAUAUUUGGCGCUUCCUCCCCGGCGCUACGAGGCGCUUCCUCCCUGCCCGAGGCCCAUACAAGGCGCUUCCUUCCCGGCACGUCUGGCCGGCGGCCCGCGGGCGGCUGUGGGCGGGAGCCGGCGGCCGGGGACCCGCUGCCAAGGAGGGGGCGGCCGGCGGCGCUGGGAACGCGCCUGGCUGAGGAACCGGCAAGUCCUAACAGGCCCUCCCUGCAGCACUUCCAGGGACUUAAACCUGGCCCAGCCAUGUGGUUACCCUGAUCUAUCUGCCUGGAGAUGAGCAAAGGUCAGAGAGAGGGACCAGACCUCAGCAGACCACACCACCAGCAACUCCCGAACCCCCACCCCCCAGCUCUUCCAGAAGUGCAACACCUCAGCAUACAGGCUGUCUGCUGGACCAACCGGUGAGCCCCUGAUUGUUCUGCCUCAGGUGAGGCAGGGAAAGAAAAGCUCAGAGGUUGAACUGAGUCACAGAAUAUGCCCAGGAAAGGGCUUCUAGUGCCAAGCAGCUUUGGCCUUGAUUCCUCACAGGCUUCCAGUUUUUUGGUUAUGCACGUGUGUAUACAAGCACAUGAGUGCAGGCACAUGCACGCACGCGUACACACACGUGCCUGCACUCUCUCUCUCUUACCCUCUCCCUCUCUCUGUCUCUCUGUCUCUCUCUCUCUCUCUGAAUAAGGCUAAACGAUAAUGAGCUUUGUUGGUCUCCCUGACUCCAGGUAGGCUGUGCCUGUGUACUGGAUGCAGGCAGAAGAGAUGAUUUCCAAGGUCCAGGACUGAGGGUUUAGAGGUUAGAUUUUGAUGGAAAAAAAAACUGGGUUUCAGGGCCUGGGCUGCAUACCCAGGGCCUAGAUGCCUCUGGCCUUGUUUUCCCAUGUAAGGCUGCAGGCCCCCAGCAGCCUCCUCUUCCGAGCUGUUGUCUAGGAUUAUGGGUAAUGUAGUCCAGAGGCCAGCUUCUCUGUGGUACUGGUUCCUGCCCUCCCCUCAUCUCCUUCCCCCCUGCCAGCCACCACCCCCUUCUGCUCCAAGCUGAGGGCAGCGCAGGGUGAGAAGGCGGUGCUUGCUCCUUGCAGGGCUGGGAGAUCCCCUGCUGGAAACCAGCAAGCUAUUUAUAGCUGAGCCUAGCCGUGGGGGAAGGCCUGAGAGAAGCCAGGGAGCUCCAGCAGCCGCCUCUCCAGCUACAGGAUUUGCAGGAACCCCAGGCCUCUGCUGGGCAGGCCUUGUGUUCUAUUCUGGGUGAAAAGGCGUGGAGCCUCAGAAAGCCCUAUAAAAGCAGUAGGGGUCCUGGGUUGCUCCCUGCUUUGUCUGAGAGAGGUAGGUUACUACGGUGGCUCUAGGGCCUGGCUUUUCAGCCUUUCUAAGGUGAAUAUUUGGAAUUUGAGAAUUGAUAAGCUGAGACUUUUUGCAGAAAAAGCCAGCGUGACAUGCAAUAUGAUGGUUGCCUGGUAUUUUUAUGCAUUUUUGUUCUCAUUGUUUUUCUCUGCUUGUUUUCUCAGCCAAGUUGUAUUAUCUUGAAGGGCAGGAACAGGGUCACCUGGGUGGCUCAGUGGUUUAGUGCCUGCCCUCGGCCCAGGGUGUGAUCCUGGAAUCCCACAUCGGGCUCCCUGCGUGGAGCCUGCUUCUCCCUCUCUGUGUGUCUCUCAUGAAUAAAUAAAAUCUUAAAAAAAAAGAAAAAAGAAAA
rnacentral:lncRNA from 12 species